CGCGUAGGUGGCCAAUUAAGUCAAAUGUGAAAUCCCCGAGCUUAACUUGGGAAUUGCAUUCGAUACUGGUUGGCUAGAGUAUGGGAGAGGAUGGUAGAAUUCCAGGUGUAGCGGUCGAAAUGCGUAGAGAUCUGGAGGAAUACCGAUGGCGAAGGCAGCCAUCUGGCCUAAUACUGACACUGAGGUGCGAAAGCAUGGGAGGCAAACAA
rnacentral:rRNA from 1 species